CUCGCCAUAGCACAAAGGAUAGUGCGCCCGCCUCCUAAGCGAGAUAUUUGGGUUCGAUUCCCGAUGGCGAGACCA
rnacentral:tRNA from 1 species